rnacentral:rRNA from 1 species
AGAGUUUGAUUAUGGCUCAGAAUGAACGUUGGCGGCGUGGAUUAGGCAUGCAAGUCGAGCGGAAAGGCCCCUUCGGGGGUACUCGAGCGGCGAAAGGGAGAGUAACGCGUGGAUACCUGCCCCUGGAUCCGGAAUAGCUGCGGGAAACUGCAGGUAAUGCCGGAUAAUGUCUCUGGACCAAAGGUGUGAUUCCGUCCAGGGAGGGGUCUGCGUCCUAUUAGCUUGUUGGUGGGGUAACGGCCUACCAAGGCGACGAUGGGUACCGGGUGUGAGAGCAUGACCCGGCUCACUGGGACUGAGACACUGCCCAGACACCUACGGGUGGCUACAGUCGAGAAUCUUCGGCAAUGGACGCAAGUCUGACCGAGCGACGCCGCGUGCGGGAUGAAGGCUUUCGGGUUGUAAACCGCUGUCAGAGGGGAGGAAAUCUGCGGGGGCUAUCCCCCAUGGUUGACCUAUCCUCAGAGGAAGGACGGGCUAAGUUCGUGCCAGCAGCCGCGGUAAUACGAACCGUCCAAACGUUAUUCGGAAUUAUUGGGCUUAAAGGGUGCGUAGGCGGUGUGGUAAGUUGGGUGUGAAAUCCCUCGGCUCAACCGAGGAACUGCGCCCAAUACUGCCACACUUGAGGAAGACAGAGGUAAGCGGAACUGAUGGUGGAGCGGUGAAAUGCGUUGAUAUCAUCAGGAACACCAGUAGCGAAGGCGGCUUACUGGGUCUUUUCUGACGCUGAGGCACGAAAGCUAGGGUAGCGAACGGGAUUAGAUACCCCGGUAGUCCUAGCUGUAAACGAUGAGCACUUGGUCGGAGGCUCCUCCAUAGGUUUCCGGCCGUAGCG